UUAACAACAUCUGCAUCAUUUUAAAAAUGAAACAUAUAUUUCAGCAAGUUUUAGAAGAGGAAACCAGCAGGGAGUGGGCAAAUAUUUCAGUUGAGUUAGAAAGAUGUUUCAGCUUUUGUUAAUACAGUACUAUGCCCCUACACCCGAAGAGCAAAAUUGUGAGUUAACACAUACGUGAGAGCUGGAGCCCAAAAAUUGUUUGACUAUCGAUCACGUUAUGAGACUUAAAAUGAGCAGAAGAGACCCUUCCACGGCAGAAGACACCAGUUGUCUUAAAAAUAUACUGAUUAAAUGGUUCCCUAGUUUCUCUUCAUGAGAAUCCUAAAGCAAUGCCAAGGGGAGGACUCUGCUUUUCUGUAAUGGCAGAGAAAGGACAAAAUACUGAUGUGAAACUUAGCAAGACUAAUAAAUGUCAUUGCUGGUGCUGCUUGGUGUGUGACUCACCUCCCAAAACAUAGGCACCUGGGGACAUUUCUCCCAUUCUAAGGUGUCUGAGACAUUGUGGGGGGCUGGCAGGUAAACCUGGAGAUCUGGAGAAAAGAGCCUCAGGUGACCAAAGCAGCACUGAAUACCUCUGUGUAGGCAACCAAAUCCCUCAUCAUCCAAAACGCAGCUUCCCGCAGCCUGUCUGAAGGUGCCCACCUGUGCCGGUGCACAGGGAGCGGCGUUGGGAGGGGAUGCACGGCCUGGCUGCCGCUGGAUCCCGGGGAGGGCUUGCCCUAGCGCUGCUGACAUCGAUGUGUCAUUUAACCAUGGACGACGGUUAAAUUGCCAGCUGAAGAGUCAGAGGAAGAAGUAACUCAGAGUAACUUCACCCCUUUUAAUUCACUAUUUGCCUUCAGUUCCUCCUUCUUUAACUCAUGCAGAGUUGGCAUGAACAGACCUUGAAGACCUCUCUGGCUGAGCACAGCAGUCCUGCUAUAGUGCACCUACCCGGGCUCUGAGAGGCAGGUGCUGGCCAAGAUGGACCUUUCCGGGAGGACGUGCACCAGGCUGUGCUGCUGAGAGGACUCGCUCUGGCCCCUGCUGCAGUGCUGCACCGACCUGCUGUGACUAACGCUGCCCGCUCUCGCCGCCGACUGACGUGCGAUCCCCAUCGCCAACGUCUGUCUGUCAACGAGCGAGGCGAGCUCCAGCUCCCUGCGGCUGCUGCAAUCCGUGGUGACCCCGUGCUGCAGCACGCACCGGUUCGAAUCUGCGUAAUAAAAAGAGGGAGCUACCGCCACAGUGAGACACUGCAAUCCAGAAUGCCAGUUCGGAAGCCUCUGAGCUCUGGAGAAGUGGGAUAAGGCAGCCUCCAAGGGUUUCAGGAAAGCUGCUGGCUCCUGUGGACGUCUGACCUGCCCAAGCCGGCCCCUGCUCCCUGGGCUGGUCCUGCUGCUGUCUUCUGGUGGCUUCAAGCAACUCCCCAAGCCUGUCCUGCACCCCACACUCAGGAUGCUCACCCGCAGUGUCACAUCUAACAUGUCAGGCUGAUUACAGUCGUGGUGAGACCCAUGCAUUCAGUAGAACGGUGAAGGUUCACACUAAAUGACCUGGGCAGCAGUGCGCUGUGAUGCUCUGCAAGUCCAAAUGAAUUUAGGUGAAGUUCUGGAGGAAAAUUCUGAUCUUAACUGCACUAGUGCAAUGAAUUACACUCCUAAUUAUUCUGAUUUUCAAUUUCUGCUGCUGCUAGUUACAAAGUCUGGAGCAGAAAUUGAUAGUUACUGUAUUAGCUCCUGUAUGACUUAAUCCUUAUUUUGGAGGAUUUACAGGAUAAACCCAUACUUUGUGUCUAAUUUUGUUUUGCAAAUACGGAGAUGUCAGCCCCAUUUAUAAAGUCAUAAAAUUUAUGUUGUGUUGUCCCACCUGGCCUCCAUGGUCUCCCACUGCUGUCAGUGGACUCUGCUACUGUGGCUUUUUGAUUAUUUAUUCACGUAACACGUGAUAAAAGAAACAAGAUGUCUGCUACAAGUACGGUAUGGCUAACACUCCAGAAGGCUCCAGCCUUCAUUUUUUUUUUUUCCACACAUCAUGCAUAAAUCGGAGAAUGAAGGGCAUCCAGAUUUUGUUUUCCUGUUUCCACAUUUUGAAGAAACAAAAGCUGAUGGUUGUGAUUUCUGUGAUGACACCAACACAGGGACGCCACCCCAGAAACCAGCUUUGCUGCUGCUGCAUCCAAUACCACCGGCGCUGGCACCACAGCAUGGGCUUGCUUUCGUGGCAGGCUUCCCUGGCGUUCAGGAGAUUCAGUCAGGGUACAGAUGCCUUUUAUUUAAAAUUAUGUAAGAAAAUUUGCCUUGGGUUUGAUAUCAAAUGUCUUCUUUUUCUCUCACUGCGGCUGGGACCUUGAGAUAGCUCAUCAGCACAUGGGGAAAGGCUGGGAAAAAUCUUCAGGGUUUAGUGUUGAAUGCGAAACCUGGAAUUAGUAGGCUGUUCGGGCUAAGAUUGGAACUGGGAAACUUCAGGAGCUGGAAGAUAUCACCAGUGGCAUUUUGGGAGACUACAGCAUGCGCUUUCCCUCACAGGCACUUGGUGCAAGUGGAGAAGGACUGGAUUAUUAGGAAGCCCAAGACUAGGUCUUCUGCAGAGGCAGAUGCACAGACUGGCCCACGAGCAGUGCUGGCAGGGAGGGUGGAAUCCGCCCUCGCCAGGUGAUGCAUGUGCACAUGCAGAUGUGCACACGCAGACAUGGACACACGUGCUGUAAGUGGGCUGCCGGGCCUGCUCAGCACCCUCAUUGAGACUGCUCCACACCAUUUAAGAGCUGAGAAAUUGCAAGCGUAUUGAACGCUGAAUUUUCACAGCACAAAGUUAGCAGAGAUGAUUCUGUAACCGAUAAAGUGGGAAACUUCACAGCAUUGAAUGGUCCUCAGAUUCACACUUCCAUGUGUGUCAUAGUCUGGUGUUAAUGUACUUGGAGCAAUAACAUAAAACAUGUAAGAGUGCUGGCUGGGCAACAAAACCUGCCAGUUUUUCCCAUGCUGUCCACACUGUUUGCUUGCCUUGGGGGUUCUCGCCUCACUGACGGUGAUGGAGAGCUUUGCAACAACAGAGAGUGCAAAAGCUUCCAGCUCCCAGCCCUAGCACCAGUGAGUUCAUUACCUGCAGAAAAGCUCCUUCAGCCAGAUGUGUGUGGUGCUCGUGUUUCAUAUACCUUCCUUCCACUGGUAAAGCUUGCCUGUGAUUUUGGCAUUUCCCCUUGUUAAAUAGGACAAGAGGAAAAAUCCCAUAAGGUUUCUUUGGACUGUGAGCCUUGCAGAGCCAUCAGCCUGAUCUGGAUGCAUCCCCUAACAUAUUUCUGAUAACUGGCUAAACUCCGUAUGGAAACUUUGGAAAUUCAUUUUAUUGGGGGAAAUAAAAUUUGUUUUAUUAACAUCAGUGGAGCACAGGGAAGUGAAAAUAAGCAGUGUUCCGUAACAAAAUACAACACUGCAAUUCCUAUAAAUGGAAAAUGUGUCUUAAAUCUCUCCAUGAAUAAAGAAAAUGCAGACAAGAAAAGGCAUAACCAGGUUGCACAAAAAGAAUAUUUUAAUUGAUGUAGGGGCCUACAGUUUUUCAUAUGGGAACCAGAGCCUUCUAACCUGGGGCAACAUCCCAUCUGGACAACCUUGGUGGCAUUUUCAGAGAAAGGAGGUGGCAUUUAAAAAUAUUGACAGAUUGUACGUUGAAGAUGGAAUAAGUAUUUUAAAAAGCAUGAACUAAUAUACCAGGGGUUGGAUAACUGUGGAAAGCAAAGCAGACCCAGUAGAAUUGGGUAAACUAAACUUGAAGCUGACUCAAAAGUCAUGAAAUAUCGGUGUCCUCUUUAAGAUCUCGUUUAAGUACAUGUAUUUGAAGAAUUUUUGAAGUUACCCUAAGAGCAGGACUUGAUAAAGGAAAUAUGUGGAAAACAUUAUUUAGUUUCAUCUGAUAUUCAUGCUGAGGGGCUAAGGGAGUCAGUAAAUGAAGUUUUUGAACCUCAUGAUAACAGAUUUUGAAAAUGGAAAAAGUGUUUUCCUUUUGAAAAUGAGAAAUGAAAGUGUUGGAGCCAGCAAUGUAGAGGGAAAUGAACAUAGAACUAAUGUUUACAGAGGAAAAGACAACUGAUCCCAAGCAAGGGGGAACUGGUUUCACUUUCGGGAGACUGGGCAUGUAGCAGGAGAAGGAGACCCCUGGAGCCCUGUGUCCCAUGUGCCGACAGCACAGCUGCGGCUGGAGCAUCCUCCAGUAGAGCAAAGUCUUUGGGAAAGAGCCUGGUGGGCACCGGUGUUGGGCGCAGCUGCCAGAGCCACCCUGCCGGCAGUGCUGCGAGGUUCCUGGUCACGGUGGCCACCCCGGCAGCAGCCCUGGGAGCCCGUUCACGCUUGGGUGUCCUGGGAAAAUAAAUAUUUAUGAGGAAAUGCCCGGAGUUGUCAAGCUAUCCUGCAAAUUAUUAGAGAACUGGAACAUAUUGUGGAGGGAAAAGGUAUUUGCUGAAAAGCCCUUUCAAGCACAAUGCCUCAUUCUCUGCAAGGUUCAUCUUCAAAAACUAAGAAUGGGGAAGGAUUAAUGGUCCAGGAGCCUGAGAAUUCACACUUCCCGAAACAAAGAACAAAGAUGUUAAGCCUGUCUUCAAAUGUCCCUGUUUUCUACAAAGGAAUAUAAUUUUGCUUCUGUCAUCAUUUCAAGAAAUACUUUCUCCACAAUCAUUUCUUUUCCAAAGUCAAAGACUUGAAAUCUUGCAAAAAAAAGAGGAAGAAAAAACCCUUGCAUUUUCCAAAAUAAAUAAAUAAAUCCAGCAACACAGGCUUUUAUUUUGCUGGCAGAGGCAGAACUUACUUGAAACAAGAAGAAAGAAGGAGAAGCUGAACAUGUUUCAAUUAAAAAACCAUUAUUAGCUCACAAAGGGAGAGAUAAAAUAGGGUUUGCUCUUCAGGAGAGCAAGGGGGCUGCCUGCCAUGAGCACGCGAGCAGCAUGCUCGUCAUGGGGGGUCUGGAGUGUCCGGAGGGGAGCAGUGCCUGCUGCCCGGCCCGGACGCUGCUGGCACAGCAGUGGGGAUGCUCGGGCUGCAUCCCAGCCCUUGUCAGGCAUCCCACUCUGCCGGGCCAGGCUCAGCUGGGCUCUUGGUGGGUGCGACGGCUGCCCCAGGCUGGAGGACAUGACUGUGCAACUUCUUUGGCUGCAGACUGGGGAAGGGAAGUAGCACGAGGAGCCUGGGAUGCCCUCGUUUUCUUUAUUUUCUUGGUCAUUAUUGCAGCACCUGUGGCACUGAGCCUGCCACUGGCUAUAGCCUGACACACGGCCCAGACU